rnacentral:rRNA from 1 species
UACGUAGGUGGCAAGCGUUAUCCGGAUUUAUUGGGCGUAAAGGGAACGCAGGCGGUCCUGCAAGUCUGGAGUGAAACGUAUGAGCUCAACUCAUGCAUGGCUCUGGAAACUGGGAGACUUGAGUGCAGAAGAGGAGAGUGGAACUCCAUGUGUAGCGGUGAAAUGCGUAGAUAUAUGGAAGAACACCAGUGGCGAAAACGGCUCUCUGGUCUGUAACUGACGCUGAGGUUCGAAAGCGUGGGUAGCAAAAAGG